UACGUAGGGGGCAAGCGUUGUCCGGAUUUAUUGGGCGUAAAGAGCGUGUAGGCGGCUAGAUAGGUCCGUUGUGAAAACUCGAGGCUCAACCUCGAGACGCCGGUGGAAACCAUCUAGCUAGAGUCCGGAAGAGGAGAGUGGAAUUCCUGGUGUAGCGGUGAAAUGCGCAGAUAUCAGGAGGAACACCGGUGGCGAAGGCGCCACUCUGGGCCGAAACUGACGCUGAGGAGCGAAAGCGUGGGUAGCAAACAGG
rnacentral:rRNA from 1 species